UACGGAGGGUGCUAGCGUUGUUCGGAAUCACUGGGCGUAAAGCGCGUGUAGGCGGCCCACUAAGUCUGAUGUGAAAGCCCGGGGCUCACCCCCGGAAGUGCAUUGGAAACUGGUGGACUCGAGUCCCGGAGAGGAGAGUGGAAUUCCUGGUGUAGCGGUGAAAUGCGUAGAUAUCAGGAGGAACACCGGUGGCGAAGGCGGCUCUCUGGACGGUGACUGACGCUGAGGAGCGAAAGCGUGGGGAGCAAACAGG
rnacentral:rRNA from 1 species